rnacentral:lncRNA from 1 species
UAUAUACAGACACAGUCCUCUGAUCUCCGUCUCCAGGUCAGCACUAACUUGUUCUGUUCUUUGAAAUGUUUAGUUUUUCGAAAUGUUAUGUUUUGGAUUUGGUUUAAGCUCUGCCGACAAUAGGUGGUUCGGUGUAUGUAUUUCUAUUUAUUUUAUUUUAUUUUAAAGUUGGUUUGCUUGAUUAUGUUUUAGUUUUCCAGCAUAUAUAAAACAUUUAUAUGCGAUGUAAUAAAUUUUGUUGUUAAUUUCAUUGAACCUGCGCCUGUGAAAUCAGAGGUUCGACUUUAGAUUACUAUGGAUAAAAAACUUUAGUUAGGCUGUUCCAAAUCUGAUCUCCACUAUCUAGAUUAUAGAUCCUCAUGUAGUCAUUGUAUCUAUAAAUUCUCAGCUAAAUUGAUCCAUAUAUGAUGCAUAUAGUAGCAUUUUAUCAAAACUGGAUAAAUCACCCAAAUACUAUUUCUAGGAAGC